GAUGAACGCUGGCGGCGUGCCUAAUACAUGCCAGUCGAGCGAACAGACGAGGAGCUUGCUCCUCUGACGUUAGCGGCGGACGGGUGAGUAACACGUGGAUAACCUACCUAUAAGACUGGGAUAACUUCGGGAAACCGGAGCUAAUACCGGAUAAUAUAUUGAACCGCAUGGUUCAAUAGUGAAAGACGGUUUUGCUGUCACUUAUAGAUGGAUCCGCGCCGCAUUAGCUAGUUGGUAAGGUAACGGCUUACCAAGGCAACGAUGCGUAGCCGGCCUGAGAGGGUGAUCGGCCACACUGGAACUGAGACACGGUCCAGACUCCUACGGGAGGCAGCAGUAGGGAAUCUUCCGCAAUGGGCGAAAGCCUGACGGAGCAACGCCGCGUGAGUGAUGAAGGUCUUCGGAUCGUAAAACUCUGUUAUUAGGGAAGAACAAAUGUGUAAGUAACUAUGCACGUCUUGACGGUACCUAAUCAGAAAGCCACGGCUAACUACGUG
rnacentral:rRNA from 1 species